AACUACACCUGGGUUAAGAAGAAUGACACUGGAGUCUGGCAGGCAGGAUCAGGACAGAGUUUGAACUUUUCUAACUUUAGAUCCUGGAACAGAGGACAGUACUACUGUGAGGCACAGAACAGACUUGGAGCUCAGAAUGCUUCUGCUCUACUGGUCACAGUGCAAGAGCAGAGCCUUCAGAGAGUGACAAACGCAGCCAGCGACACAAACUCUGUGCUUCAGAG